UACGAACUGUGCAAACGUUAUUCGGAAUCACUGGGCUUACAGGGUGCGUAGGCGGCUUGUUAAGCAGGGUGUGAAAUCCCUCGGCUCAACCGAGGAAUUGCGCCUUGAACUGGCGAGCUGGAGUGGGACAGAGGUGCGCGGAACUUCCAGUGGAGCGGUGAAAUGUGUUGAUAUUGGAAGGAACGCCGGAGGCGAAAGCGGCGCACUGGGUCUUAACUGACGCUGAGGCACGAAAGCCAGGGGAGCAAACGGG
rnacentral:rRNA from 1 species